UCAAGCCAUGCCCUUCCCUUUUGCAAGCUCCCGUGGCUCGCGACCCGCAGCCCACCCCUGCACCAGUGGACACUGCGGGAUGGCCUGGCCUCGGCUCUGCAUUUUCACUUCUCUUAGCUCUCAUCUCCUCCACCACAGAGACAGCUCUGUCUGAGUAUCUUUCUGAUACUGUUCUUUAUCCCCCAGGACUGGCCCAGCCCAGGGCGGUGCGUACAGCAGACACUUAAUGUAACACAGUAGCAGCUUUUAAUUUCUCAGGCCAAUGAGAUACAGACAGUCACUGGUAUGGUAGUUUUUCAGUCAAGCAUCAAGGGAAGAACUUAUUAGUUUGAAUUACAAACAACAGAAGUAGAAAACUCCACAAGGAAAAAUCUCAGCUGGUGAAGAAGCUCAGGAGCUCACAGAAGGUGAGCACUUGGGGUGUGAUGAAGUAAUCAAACCAUCGCCAUCGGCUAAGGAAACCGAGGGGUGCAGAGCUGAUGUCGCUUGGCCCGCAAGCCACGGAGAGUGGGAGCAAGAGGAGGUUUGGUCAGGCUGCCUCUGCCCCUGUCUUUCUCGGCCCACAGGCUCCAAGCAGGCAGGACCAGACCGCAGCUUCCAGGUGCUGGGAUCCGGGGACCACACCUUCACCUGCUGCUCUCUUGAAGGAAAAACAAAUAUCUGCCUCUGGCAGGUAAAAAAAAAAUAAAAGGAGUGCGUCUCA
rnacentral:lncRNA from 1 species